GUUUAAGUAAAUACAAAUCAAUGAAAUUUAAACACAAUGUUAAUGACUACAAAAGGAAGGUUGGUAUUGAUUUUGGGAGUUUAGGUCCCAACAGUUUAGGAAUUAGGGGCCAAAAAGGGACCCAAAUAAGCAUUUUUCUUGGUUUUCGCACCAUAACGUUAGUAUAAGUAAAUAGAAAUCUAUGAAAUUUAAACACAAGGUUUAUGACCAUAAAAGGAAGGUUGGUAUUGAUUUUGGGAGUUUUGGUCCCAACAGAAUAAGGGCCCAAAGGGUCCAAAAUUAAACUUUGUUUGAUUUCAUCAAAAUUGAAUAAUUGGGGUUCUUUGAUAUGCCGAAUCUAACUGUCAUGACUGUGUAUGUAGAUUCUUAACUUUUGGUCCCGUUUUCAAAUUGGUCUACAUUAAGGUCCAAAGGGUCCAAAAUUAAACUUAGUUUGAUUUUGACAAAAAAUGAAUCAGUUAGGUUCUUUGAUAUGCUGAAUCUAAAAAUGUACUUAGAUUCUUGAUCAUUGGCCCAGUUUUCAAGUUGGUCCAAAUCGGG
rnacentral:lncRNA from 1 species